rnacentral:tRNA from 1 species
GGGCGAAUAGCUCAGUCUGGUUAGAGCAACUGGUUUACACCCAGUAGGUCGGCGGUUCGAGUCCGUCUUCGCCCACCA